UUAUGCUCGCUUCAGGAAUACAUAUAUUAACAUUGGAAUGAUGUGGAGAUUAGCAUGGUCCCUGUGCACGGAUGACAUGGAAAUUCAUAAAAUGUUCCAUAUUUUU